rnacentral:rRNA from 1 species
ACGUAGGGCGCAAGCGUUGUCCGGAAUUAUUGGGCGUAAAGAGCUCGUAGGCGGUUUGUCGCGUCUGCUGUGAAGACGCAAGGCUUAACCUUGCGCCUGCAGUGGGUACGGGCAGACUAGAGUGCAGUAGGGGAGACUGGAAUUCCUGAUGUAGCGGUGGAAUGCGCAGAUAUCAGGAGGAACACCGAUGGCGAAGGCAGGUCUCUGGGCUGUUACUGACGCUGAGGAGCGAAAGCGUGGGGAGCGAACAGGA